AUUGCGUCGUCCCCCCCCUUCACCCGUGCCCUGAAAGGGGCGCGGGCCUUGGCGUGGGGGCGGAAGUUGGCUUCCCGUGCAGUGUGUGCGGCUAGCCUGAAACACGGUUCCCUCGCCGCGGAAGUCGCGACAAGUGGUGGUCGUCGAGAUUGUACGCGAGUUGCCGGCAGGCUGCGUCGAGGAGAGCAUUUGGACCCUGUGCGUGCGGGAUGAGCCCCUCACAGAGGGGCAAUUCCAACGAUUGCGACCCCAGGUCAGGC
rnacentral:rRNA from 1 species